GAUGAACGCUGGCGGCGUGCCUAAUACAUGCAAGUCGAGCGAACAGACGAGGAGCUUGCUCCUCUGACGUUAGCGGCGGACGGGUGAGUAACACGUGGAUAACCUACCUAUAAGACUGGGAUAACUUCGGGAAACCGGAGCUAAUACCGGAUAAUAUAUUGAACCCCAUGGUUCAAUAGUGAAAGACGGUUUUGCUGUCACUUAUAGAUGGAUCCGCGCCGCAUUAGCUAGUUGGUAAGGUAACGGCUUACCAAGGCGACGAUGCGUAGCCGACCUGAGAGGGUGAUCGGCCACACUGGAACUGAGACACGGUCCAGACUCCUACGGGAGGCAGCAGUAGGGAAUCUUCCGCAAUGGGCGAAAGCCUGACGGAGCAACGCCGCGUGAGUGAUGAAGGUCUUCGGAUCGUAAAACUCUGUUAUUAGGGAAGAACAAAUGUGUAAGUAACUAUGCACGUCUUGACGGUACCUAAUCAGAAAGCCACGGCUAACUACGUG
rnacentral:rRNA from 1 species